rnacentral:rRNA from 1 species
GUGCCAGCCGCCGCGGUAAGACAGAGGGUGCAAACGUUGCUCGGAAUUACUGGGCGUAAAGCGCGUGUAGGCGGACCCACAAGUCAGGCGUGAAAUCCCUGGGCUCAACCCAGGAACUGCACCUGAAACUGUGGGUCUGGAGUGGUGGAGAGGGAAGCAGAAUUCCUGGUGUAGAGGUGAAAUUCGUAGAUAUCAGGAGGAACACCGGUGGCGAAGGCGGCUUCCUGGACACUAACUGACGCUGAGACGCGAAAGCGUGGGGAGCAAACAGGAUUAGAUACCCGCGUAGUCC